GGCUGUGUUUUCAUUAAUCGGUCUAAUCUUGCUUUUAAAACGCAAGAGAUGCACAAAAGCGACGAGAUCUAAAAGCAAGGCGCAAAGCGUAAAAGCGGCGGGUUUUUGUGGAGGUUUUCAGAGACAUGGUUGAAAGAUCUUAAAAGCUGCAUCUCUAAAUCAAAGUUAAAGGAUGUGGAGGUUUUCAGAGACAAUAAAGGGCAUGUGUACUGGAGGUUAAAAGGGUGUUCUGAGAAGCCUGGUAUUCUUCAAGGAAGGUGCAUCUGAUGCAGACGUCAACGCGCUUCCUAAAUACAGAUUUCAGGCAUCCAAAGAUAACGAGGACAAACCUGAGGUGGGAGCGGGUAGAAUGGUUCCUGCUGAAUCAAAUGGCAGUCACAUAGCUGUCGAACGUGUUCUUCUACCUGAGGAUGAUGAUUGCUGCAUUUAUCUAAGCACAUGAAGAUGGAGCAGAACUUCAUUCACUUCCUUGCAACCAUCAUUUCCAUGCUACAUGCAUUGUGAAAUGGCUGAAGAUGAAUGCAACUUGCCCACUUUGCAAAUACAUCAUCCUCAAGGGAAAUGAACAUCUUUAAAAAGUAAUCGAGUCUACAUGUGCAUGCUACUAUGUAUUUAUUCACGUACAUGAGGAAAUGUAAACAAAUAACUAUGUGAUGACAAUUGAUCCCGACCAUUGGUUUUUUGUAUGAGUUUGGUCUUCUUGGUACAAAUGAAGAGAAUAAUGCUUACAUUUAUAGGAUUUAUUUCAGUAGUACAUUUGUGUAGCUAUUUGAUGAGUUCAGAUCUUGUAUAUGUAACAUCCAACACCUCAUAGCCGUUAAUAUUGUCUUCUUUUACAUGCAAGAAAUUCAUCUAUCUCUUUUUAGUUGCGGAGUGGAGACCUUUUAGGUUGUUGUUUACCCUGUGAUUGUUUUUAUCAAAGCAUGUUUAACUACAAAGUUCUCUAAUCCACAAGACCACAACUAAUGCGUCUAAUACGUGUUGGUGGUAGUUGAAGUCUGUCAUUCUUUAUAAACCUAUGUGU
rnacentral:lncRNA from 1 species